GCAUUUACCAUCUGGACUGAUGAUUAUCAACUGUUUUCGAUACAAAAUUUUCGUUUUUAUCAUUUUACCUGCCAACUGACACACCUAAUCCUUUACUGGAUUCGCCUCUGGUAGCAGGAGAACAUCUUCCACCACGGAUCGUCGAACCAAAUCCGUCUAAGGGAUUUUACGCGGUUGUUGAAGCUCACACUGUAUGUAAAUCAAUAUGCUUUGGAUUAAACGUUUCUGCUUCGUUAUGACUAUCGUUUCUGCUGCUGCUCCGCUUACGGAAUUGGAAUCCGCCAUAAAUUCGCUAAUUAAAGUCUAUCAUAAGUAUUCCAAUACAAGUACCAACCUCAUUGACCAUCAAGGAAUAGAGUUACUUUGCUCCGAUUUGGAUGUCUCUCCUACUGAUGUCCGAAUCUUGAUGCUUGCUUGGU